UAUAUCAUUAGUUAAUCAAGUGCCAUAAAAGGCUGUUGUCCAAAUUAAUAAUGGCCAACAAAGGGAAGACGGUGUAAAUCCGUCGUGGUCCCGCCGCUGUAACCAGUGACGAACAUUACAACAACCACUGCUUUGGACAAUACUGAGUGGGAAGGUGUGAUUAGUAGAUUGACCUGGAAACCAGAAGACCUGCUUGAUGAUGUUUGCCAAAU
rnacentral:ncRNA from 22 species